rnacentral:rRNA from 1 species
CCUGGCUCAGGAUGAACGCUAGCGACAGGCCUAACACAUGCAAGUCGAGGGGUAUCAGAAGAAGCUUGCUACUAGAUGACGACCGGCGCACGGGUGAGUAACGCGUAUGCAACCUGCCUUAUACUGGGGGAUAGCCCAGAGAAAUCUGGAUUAAUACCGCAUAACAAUUAGAAGCUGCAUGGUUUUUAAUUUAAAACUCCGGUGGUAUAAGAUGGGCAUGCGUAACAUUAGCUAGUUGGUAAGGUAACGGCUUACUAAGGCAACGAUGUUUAGGGGGUCUGAGAGGAUAGUCCCCCACACUGGUACUGAGACACGGACCAGACUCCUACGGGAGGCAGCAGUGAGGAAUAUUGGUCAAUGGACGCAAGUCUGAACCAGCCAUGUCGCGUGUAGGAUGACUGCCCUAUGGGUUGUAAACUACUUUUUUACAGGAAUAAACUUUAUCACGUGUGGAGAACUGAAGGUACUGUAGGAAUAAGGAUCGGCUAACUCCGUGCCAGCAGCCGCGGUAAUACGGAGGAUUCGAGCGUUAUCCGGAUUUAUUGGGUUUAAAGGGUCCGUAGGCGGGCUUGUAAGUCAGUGGUGAAAUCUCACAGCUCAACUGUGAAACUGCCAUUGAUACUGCAGGUCUUGAAUUUAGUUGAGGUGGGCGGAAUACGAUAUGUAGCGGUGAAAUGCAUAGAUAUAUCGUAGAACACCGAUUGCGAAGGCAGCUCACUAAUCUAAUAUUGACGCUGAUGGACGAAAGCGUGGGGAGCGAACAGGAUUAGAUACCCUGGUAGUCCACGCCGUAAACGAUGAUCACUCGUUGUGCGCGAUACAUUGUGCGCGACUGAGCGAAAGCAUUAAGUGAUCCACCUGGGGAGUACGUUGGCAACAAUGAAACUCAAAGUAAUUGACGGGGGCCCGCACAAGCGGAGGAACAUGUGGUUUAAUUCGAUGAUACGCGAGGAACCUUACCUGGGCUUAAAUGCAGUUUGAUCGGCUUGGAAUCGA